CUGAAAUAUUCAUCUUUUAACACCUAAUUUUUACAAAACUGUGUGAAUUAAAUGCACACUUUUUUACAACUAAGUUUAUAAAUACUUUUCAUGUAAUAGUUCCCCCAAAAAAUGAACAUUUUCUCAUGUCAUUCUGUAGAACAUAAAGGGGAUUUUGGUGGAUUGUUGAUGCUUAACUUUUCCCUAAAACAAAUCUGAAUGCAUUGUUAAGGUCCAACAAUGACAAAAACACCAUACCCCGUGUAAAAACCACACAAUAAAAUCCUGAGAAUUACAGUCAUUUGUUUACCCCGCAGGUGCCUGUUCCGCCCACAGAUAACCGAAGGUGUUUUCUGGCCAUAGGAAAUUCUGGCCAUUCAUUACAGAUCGAAUUUCAACACAUUGGAUGAAAAGUGCAGUGAACUUUGGUUGUUGCAAUUUACUAAUCUCUCUCUCCCUCUCUAGCCAGGUAUCCAUUACAGAUCUGCGCAAAACUUAAGCGAUAUUUUCUAAAUGUUGAUUAAAAAAAUAUUGUGGAAUGAUGCCGUUUCCAUUAAACGAUGUUAUGCCAAAGCCACUAGAUGGAAAGCCUACAACCUUUAGCCGUAUAUUUCUAGGUUUGGAACAAUCUGAGGAUGAGUAAAAGAUGACAGAAUUUUAAUUUUGGGGUGAACUAUCCCUUUAAUGAUAAAAAUAUAUUUACGACCGUGGUCUUUAAUACUAUCCACAAGUGAUAGUGGCAUUCAAUGAGUGCACUUUCAGUGGCGGGUUUAGGGAUGGGUGACACGUGCUGCUCUUCAGGUAAAGACGUGCACAGACGCCGUGAUGUCACUUGCUGUUCUUCUUCAGAAUGAACUCCAUAAUGGAGGUGACUAGCCCUAUAUGCCUACUCACUUCCAGAAGCGGAGCCCUUGACCUGUGAACUCUGGAGGGAGUAGCGCAUUUUCCCCCCCAUAAAGAGCCCGUCUGAAAUACACUUGGCGAAGGAAGUGAAGACGGACUGACUCUUCAAGUAAGACAAGUUUAUUAUUUUAAACAUGGUUUUACUUUCAAGGUACAUCAACAUAUUCGGUGGGAUAGAUGGGUUCUCACGAAAGGUGAACACGUUUAUUUCCAAUCCAGUGGGAUGCAUGUAGAUAGAUAUAAUCCUUUUUUUGCAUAGAUCAUGUACUUGGAACCAGCAACAAACCAACGUUCAAACACUGCCCUAUCAUUCUUUCUGCAGUCUGUGCAAAAGCAUGGCUGGCCUUCAAGGGUCCGGGCUGAUGGAAGAUGUGGAAAAUGUGGCAAUUGCAGAAACCAUGUUUCGUGUGAAAGGGACUGGAAGAGGAAGCUUUAUUUCUGGGAAAAGCGUACAUUACCAAAGAAUCGAACGCCUGUGACGAGAUGUCUGGGUCAGUGUAACUCGGCUGUAUUACGAAAUACUUCACAGCCUUGAGGAAGAUGGCUUGUUGGACUUGUCAGAUUCCCUUCAUGUGUUCUGUGCACAUUAUGUGUUCCUCCCACGUCUGGAGCGUGACCUCCACACUUUUUCUGAAGGCUGGGACAAUCAUCCAUUACAGUUUGAAAGUGGGCUCACCCCUAACCAGCUGUGGAUAAUGGGACACAUGCACAACUCAUCUGGUGACAAUGAAGAGAAUUCGCAGAAUUUGCAACUGUUUGGAACAGACUGGGAGACAUUCGAUUGUGUGACAGAUGAUGAUGUUGGAGUUCAAGUUCCAGAAAUUGAGUGCCCACUCACUCCUGCUCUGAUGGAAACAG